GAAAAUUAAGGGAUCGAAGACGAUUAAAUACUAUUAUAGUCUUAACUAUAAAUUAUACCAAUUAAGGAUCGGACAAUAUUAUUUUUUGACCCGUUCGGCACUUUACAAUAAAUUAAAAUAUUUAAGC
rnacentral:ncRNA from 1 species